UACGUAGGGUGCAAGCGUUGUCCGGAAUUAUUGGGCGUAAAGAGCUCGUAGGCGGUUUGUCGCGUCUGCUGUGAAAACGCGGGGCUCAACUCCGCGCCUGCAGUGGGUACGGGCAGACUAGAGUGCAGUAGGGGAGACUGGGAAUUCCUGGUGUAGCGGUGGAAUGCGCAGAUAUCGAGGAGGAACGACCGGUGGGCGGAAGGCGGG
rnacentral:rRNA from 1 species